UACGUAGGGAGCAAGCGUUGUCCGGAAUCAUUGGGCGUAAAGCGCUCGUAGGCGGCCCGAUAAGUCCGCUGUAAAAGUCAACGGCUCAACUGUUGAAAGCCGGUGGAUACUGUCGGGCUAGAGUACGGAAGAGGCAAGUGGAAUUCCUGGUGUAGCGGUGGAAUGCGCAGAUAUCAGGAGGAACACCCAUAGCGAAGGCAGCUUGCUGGGACGUUACUGACGCUAAGGCGCGAAAGCGUGGGGAGCGAACAGG
rnacentral:rRNA from 1 species